GACGAACGCUGGCGGCGUGCUUAACACAUGCAAGUCGAACGGAAAGGCCCUGCUUUUGUGGGGUGCUCGAGUGGCGAACGGGUGAGUAACACGUGAGUAACCUGCCCUUGACUUUGGGAUAACUUCAGGAAACUGGGGCUAAUACCGGAUAGGAGCUCCUGCUGCAUGGUGGGGGUUGGAAAGUUUCGGCGGUUGGGGAUGGACUCGCGGCUUAUCAGCUUGUUGGUGGGGUAGUGGCUUACCAAGGCUUUGACGGGUAGCCGGCCUGAGAGGGUGACCGGCCACAAUGGGACUGAGAGACGGCCCAGACUCCUACGGGAGGCAGCAGUGGGGAAUAUUGCACAAUGGGCGGAAGCCUGAUGCAGCAACGCCGCGUGCGGGAUGACGGCCUUCGGGUUGUAAACCGCUUUCGCCUGUGACGAAGCGUGAGUGACGGUAAUGGGUAAAGAAGCACCGGCUAACUACGUG
rnacentral:rRNA from 1 species